AGUGAACGCUGGCGGUAGGCCUAACACAUGCAAGUCGAACGGCAGCACAGUAAGAGCUUGCUCUUACGGGUGGCGAGUGGCGGACGGGUGAGGAAUACAUCGGAAUCUUCUUUUUCGUGGGGGAUAACGUAGGGAAACUUACGCUAAUACCGCAUACGACCUACGGGUGAAAUCAGGGGAUCUUCGGACCUUGCGCGAUUGAAUGAGCCGAUGUCGGAUUAGCUAGUUGGCGGGGUAAAGGCCCACCAAGGUGACGAUCCGUAGCUGGUCUGAGAGGAUGAUCAGCCACACUGGAACUGAGACACGGUCCAGACUCCUACGGGAGGCAGCAGUGGGGAAUAUUGGACAAUGGGCGCAAGCCUGAUCCAGCCAUACCGCGUGGGUGAAGAAGGCCUUCGGGUUGUAAAGCCCUUUUGUUGGGAAAGAAAAGCAGCAGGUUAAUACCCCGCUGUUCUGACGGUACCCAAAGAAUAAGCACCGGCUAACUUCGUG
rnacentral:rRNA from 1 species